rnacentral:rRNA from 1 species
GAUGAACGCUGGCGGCGUGCCUAAUACAUGCAAGUCGAGCGAACAGACGAGGAGCUUGCUCCUCUGACGUUAGCGGCGGACGGGUGAGUAACACGUGGAUAACCUACCUAUAAGACUGGGAUAACUUCGGGAAACCGGAGCUAAUACCGGAUAAUAUAUUGAACCGCAUGUUUCAAUAGUGAAAGACGGUUUUGCUGUCACUUAUAGAUGGAUCCGCGCCGCAUUAGCUAGUUGGUAAGGUAACGGCUUACCAAGGCGACGAUGCGUAGCCGACCUGAGAGGGUGAUCGGCCACACUGGAACUGAGACAUGGUCCAGACUCCUACGGGAGGCAGCAGUAGGGAAUCUUCCGCAAUGGGCGAAAGCCUGACGGAGCAACGCCGCGUGAGUGAUGAAGGUCUUCGGAUCGUAAAACUCUGUUAUUAGGGAAGAACAAAUGUGUAAGUAACUAUGCACGUCUUGACGGUACCUAAUCAGAAAGCCACGGCUAACUACGUG